AGAAUUGAUUGUUUUUCUGUGUGCCAAGAAAUGAGUGAUAGUGUUUUUUCAACUGUGGAAGAGACGCCUCCUGUGGCCGACGACUCCCGUCUGCGCAAAUUACUCCAGGAGUUUCAAUUGGAAUCAGUCUUUGAUUAUUUGAAAGCUGCUCAAGUGCCGUAUAGAAGUUUGCAAUACAUGCAAACAGAAGAUAUAAAAUAAGCAAUACCUCCUCUUGGUCUUCGAAUAGAAUUUCGAGAAAAACUUUUCAAUUGGAAAAAAUAACAGUUUGGUUUCAAUGACGAAACAAUUUCUGUGCAAUCCAAAGUCGACAAUUGCUUGACAGGAAAAAAGUUCAAUGGAAAAC